GUGCAUUACAGAAAAGUUUUCAACAAGUCUGAAUUCUCUAUUAAAAGCUGCUUGCUUCAUUACAGAGUUAUCAAAAUAGGCAAAGAAAAUAUUCCCUGCUUAUCCCAAGACUCCUUAACUCCUGACAAUUUUAAUAAAUCAAGGAACAUUUGGAAUUAUUUCUGCACAACUUCGGCCUUAAGUUCACAGACUACUCCUAGGACUGGACAUAUUUCUCCACCCAUGUGACCUCUGUGAGAAACAGCAGAGCAAAUUUCCAAACCAAUUCUCUCAUCUCAUCUACCACAUCCCUUUGUCUCCUCUACAGUCUAUAAGGAGAGCAUCAUUGUCCUUGCCAGAUUUGAAGUUCAUCUGCUGUGAUCACUGAGGCUGCUUAGUGUCUCUGAAGACCCUCUCAGUCUUCCUGAAUAUUGACUUUCUACUGUGUUAAGUAAAACUUAUUUCUGUGAGAAUGAGUAACAGUCCAGGCAAGUUCAACCUUGCUGUAAUUCUCAAAAUAUUUUUCCUCCAAUUCUAAGCUUAGGUGCUCUAAAAUAGUUUUUAUUUCACCCUCUUUAGAACACUAAAAAAUGUAUUUUUGGACUCAGAGAGACAUAGAAGGUUAUCAAGUUCACUUACUAGAUAUCAUUUUUACCUUCCAGUGACAUUAUGGACAGCAAGUAGAAAACCUAUCAAUAUCCCUGAACCUAAAAUGGAGUUCUCAUGUUAUUGCUCCUAAUUGCAUCAAUUAGUUUCCUCUGAUACCAAGGGCUCUCCUGCUUUAACAGACAGGUUGGAUGAAAGCUGUGAGGGAAAGUGAAACUGGUCACAAAGCAGAUUACUGAUAGAAGCAACAUUCCCGACUUCCACUCUGAUAAUAUGGCCACUGGAGCAUUUCUUACCUUGCAAGACCAAAAGCCUGGGCUUAUGAUAGCUCUUACUUUAGUGAUACAAAAGUUUCACUCCGGCUUGACCUGCUCUGGGGUUAAUAAUGAAAGCAAAGGUGUAGAUUAAUGAGGAAAAUGGAGCUUCAAGCUGUCUAAGGAUCAUCUGGGUUUCUCUGCCCUAUAUGCCCGUUCAAGUCAUCCUGGUGAGUUAAGGUGGCAGAAUAAAGUCCAGGAACUUAUGCCAGACAAGAACUUACUUCCUGGGCAUGUGUCAUCUCUCUAACCAGAUGCACUUUAAAAUAGAGCAGUCCCUUAUCCUACAAAAAAGAAUUUUUGUUUUGUUUAUUUUCUUUUUUUUCCUUUUCUUAUGUGAAUAAAAGAAAUAUAAUUGAAAACCACUUACCUGGUCAACAUUAUUUCAUAGGGUGCUGAAGUAUAAAUCAGACACACUGCGACCUUCAUAGAAAUUUCAGAUUUAUUUACAGUGGUUUGCACUGAUCGCUUUAUCUACAAGGAGCUCAGUUUCCCCUUGGUGACUCAUAAGUAAUGUGGUCCACGCAAACCCGUGUAAAUAGAUCCAAUAUUUCAAGGAAGGUCAUGCUAUAUACUCUCUUUGUUUCUCAAGAAUAGAUGAUGGCUUACUGCAGGGCUGAUACGACAUUUAUCUUCAUGAGUGAGGAGGUUGAUUGUGUGGCCCAAAGGGCAGUAGUCAUGGCUGGUGGGCACCCAACGGGAAUGAAACACACCCCAUAAAACUCUCUCUAUUUUUGUGUCUAUGUGAUGAAAGCUCCUUACUCACCAGAUAGUCUGCAGAAUACUCUAAGCGGUAAAGAACAGUUUUCUUUCAACAGGAGCAGGAGAAAGGAAAUAAAUCCUUAUACAUCCAGAACUGGAAGACCUUAACCUUCUGUGGGAAAGCAGGAAGGUUCUCCCAUGAGAGAAAUGUCUUGAACCUUCUUUUGAUGCGUCCUUGGUCCCUGCCAGGUGACACACUGAAUCAGAUUGACCACUGACUUCAUGCAGUCCAGCACUGCCUGUAUCCCUUCUCCUCUGCACAUGAAUUCUCUUCUACAAGUUGGGUGUAUCACCUGGAAAAGUCCAGCUCCACUAAAUGGAGACAGCCCAUGUGCUCUUGGGCUUUUCUUUUCAGUUUCAUGUCUGUUUUUGUGAUUUGUUUCAAAGUCUUACCUUCUCAAACAGCAAGCAAUCAUGAGACACAGCUUGCCAUGACACAGCACCAACAUGUGAAAGGUUUCCAGCUCAGUGUCACAAAGUCCACUGGCUAAAAACAUGGCCCAGAGCAUGUUCUCAGAAAGAAUAUCCAAUAAGGUGAUAAGCAUAAACAUCUGCUAUCUUCUUCUGCUGCAGUUUUGAAUCAUAUGUCAUGAUUUUAUCCAACAUAUCUAGACAAUGUCAUAUUUCAUCAUCUAUAUGAUAUCAUAUUUAUACAAGUAUUUCCAUUGGCAGUAAAAAUCUUCUGUCUUAUCUCUUAAUUUUGUUUUGCAUUUAAAAAAAUUGGAUUAAUUUUUCUUGAGGUAGGAAUCUAGGUCUCUGAAAAUCAAGGGUGAAUUCACUGUUUUGCAGCAUAUUUUCCAGGUGAAUUUAGUGGAACUCUUUAAAUUAACUGGAGAGAACACUUUCAGGUAGUUGGUACCCAAAGCUGAUUUCUCUGUAUCUCAGUUUCUCACUUAAAAAAUGUAGUAAUGUUAUUUUCUUUGCCUGUUUCUUUUCCUAUUUAUAUCUUAGCAUUGCCUGUUAGAUCUCAUCUGUGUUGAUCCUACUGUAAGUGAAACUAGUAAUAAAAAUAUCUCCCACCCAAAAGAGAGAUUUUUGGAAAUGAGCAGUGGCAUGCAGAAACAAGAAUAUAAAUUUUCAUCAAGUUAACAAUUUAAU